rnacentral:rRNA from 1 species
CAAUAGCGUAUAUUAAAGUUGUUGCGGUUAAAAAGCUCGUAGUUGGAUUUCUGCUGAGAACGACCGGUCCGCCCUCUGGGUGUGUAUCUGGCUCUUUCUUGGCAUCUUCUUGGUGAACGUUGCUGCACUUGACUGUGUGGAGCGCUACCCAGGACUUUUACUUUGAGGAAAUUAGAGUGUUUCAAGCAGGCAUACGCCUUGAAUACAUUAGCAUGGAAUAAUAAGAUAGGACCUCGGUUCUAUUUUGUUGGUUUCUAGAGCUGAGGUAAUGAUUAAUAGGGAUAGUUGGGGGCAUUCGUAUUUAACUGUCAGAGAUGAAAUUCUUGGAUUUGUUAAAGACGGACUACUGCGAAAGCAUUUGCCAAGGAUGUUUUCAUUGA